ACCAUUGAGCCAUCUCUCCAGCCCAAAAGAUUGUUUUUAAAAUCCACUUUCUCGGGCUGGAGAGAUGGCUCAGAGGU
rfam:Cricetulus griseus cell line CHO-K1, whole genome shotgun sequence.